UACAAAGGAUGCAAGCGUUAUCCGAAAUGAUUGGGCAUAAAGCGUCUGUAGGUGGCUUUUUAAGUCCGCCGUCAAAUCCCAGGGAUCAACCCUGGAUAGGCGGUGGAAACUACCAAGAUGGAGUACGAUAGGGGCAGAGGAAAUUUCCGGUGGAGCGGUGAAAUGCGUAGAGAUCGGAAAGAAUACCAACGGCGAAAGAACUCUGCUGGGCCGACACUGACACUGAGAGACGAAAGCUAGGGGAGCGAAUGGG
rnacentral:rRNA from 1 species